UAUAGAAGAAAAUUUAAAGUAAUAAGAGGAGAAAGUUUCCUUUUUUUUUUUCACUGUGACCAAAAUACCUGAUAAGAACAACUUACAGAAGAAAGCUUUAUUUGGGAUCAACAUUUCAGAGGUCAGUCUUUGGUGAGUCAGCUCCAUCACUCUGGCUCUAAAGUGAGGCAGUACAUCAUGGUGGAAGGGCAUGGCAGAGUAGAGUUGUUCAGCUGAUGGCAGCCAGAGGAUCAUGGAGGUUUCCACUGAGAUUUCAAAGGAAGACUUGAGUGUUCAGACAAAGUGAAGCUGUGUUGGAAUCCCUUCAGGAUUCCCUUGAGAGGGGACACAUGAAGCUGUGAAGGGGAAGCUGAAGCUGGAAUGGAGAUCUCAGGGAUUAAGAUAUGUCAGUAAUGUGGAAUGUCUGCUGAGGAAAGCUGUUGGCUGUAGAGGGAGUCAGCCUAAGAAAGCGACCAUGUGAAUUACAACCAGCAAGGAAAUUUAGGUGGUGCUGCAGAAGCCCUUUGAAGAUUACAUCUCACCACAAUAUUCCCCAGAUUCUGGACAUGGAGUUACAGAAACUAAUAUCUGCAUGACUGAGUUUCACUUGUUUUGGUUCCAUCCCUUCCUCUAUAUCAUUAUUCCUCCUUUUUGGAAUGGGAACAUUUACUUUAUGUCAUUGUAUAUUGGAAGUAUAUAACUUUUGAUUUUUACAGAGGCUCAAAACACAGUGUUUGUCUUGAGUCACAGAGGAGACUUUGGAUGUGUACUGGAACUUUGAAAAUUAUGGGGACUCUUGGAGAUGGACUAAAUGUAUUUUUCAUUUUUUUUUUGUGAGAUGGAUGUGAUGUUUUGAGGGCCAGGAGUAAAAUGUUAUGGCUUGAUUAUGAGAUGUGCUCCAAAAAGUUUAUGUGGCAAUUCAUAAAUGUUAAAGAGAUAAAACAGUUAUGAGACCCAUAACCUAGCUGGUGGAUUAAUGUAUUUGAUGGAUUAAUAAUUAGAAUGGAUUGCUGGUUGGUAAUUAGGU
rnacentral:lncRNA from 1 species